UACGUAGGGGGCAAGCGUUGUCCGGAAUCAUUGGGCGUAAAGAGCGUGUAGGCGGCUCGAUAAGUCCGCUGUGAAAGUCCAGGGCUCAACCCUGGAAGGCCGGUGGAAACUGUCGGGCUAGAGUCCGGAAGAGGCGAGUGGAAUUCCCGGUGUAGCGGUGAAAUGCGCAGAUAUCGGGAGGAACACCAAUGGCGAAGGCAGCUCGCUGGGACGGUACUGACGCUGAGACGCGAAAGCGUGGGGAGCAAACAGGG
rnacentral:rRNA from 1 species